CUUGCCAGCUACAUCAAGCAACUAAAGAGUAGCCAGUUUCUAUUCCUUUUACAACUUGGUGAAAGAGCACAACUCGUACACUGAACAAUGCUCAACUCUCUUGUCAGGUGCUGGUGCAGCCAGCCUCCCAGAAGCUUUGGCUUCACACAGCCUGUCAGCCCGCUCUGUGGUGUUCAAAUGGUCCUAAAUCCAGUCCUAUUAACACUCCAUCCUACCCGACCACUCCGAGGCGUCCACAUGGUCCUAAAGCAUACCUACCAAUGUUGUAUCACAUUCCAAUUAUAAAACUGGGGGGAACAAAAAUACAAUUUCAGAAUGUGGAGGGGACAUGUCCACAGUGAAAGUUGCGCCCCUGCCUAGAGGUACUGCAAUACCAGGUCGAUGAGUGGAGUGGACGGAGCAAACCCCUAUUCCAAAAAUCAAUGUAAUUUAUGGUUCCCAGAUAGGGUGUGGAAUCGCAACGGCCCCUUGCGGUUGAAGGUUCUAUUCCGAGACGGACUCCGAAUACUUUGAAAUCUUCCAAACUUUGCAUCGUCUUCAGUCCAGCCCGUCGAAGAACAGGAAGUUACCAAACCACAGAAGAUGAAAAUAUGUCGGUUUCAGCGAUGGCUUUAUGGGAUCGCUAGCAACUUGUAAACAUUUACCCAUUACUAUAAGUGUGGGCAGAUUAUUGGGCAAUCAGACUUCACUAGAUGCAGAACUUCAUCUGGAGGGAGAGGAGAGAAAGAGUUAAAGGAUGAGGAGAGGAAAGCGGCAGAAUGAAGAGAUGCUUGAUCAGGUGCUGUGGCUAGUUCUUCCUGUCACUUGUCCUCGACAGGCAGCCAGUCUCAGUCAGGGGUUCAAUAACAUGGGACUGGUUAAGUUGGAAGCCCUCUCACCACGUCAAGGUACAGGCCGAGAGAAGGAUUUUGUUUUUAAUUAAGGCCUUUAACCACCUACUCUAUAUUUGUAGUGCUUGACCUGAUGGGGCUUGGAUAGGUGUAGCAAUAUGGUGCUGACUCAAACCGGCUGUGUAAUGGACUCCGGGACACUUCUGCUAUAUUACAUACACAAAU
rnacentral:lncRNA from 1 species